GGAUGAGCCCGCGGCCUAUUAGCUAGUUGGUGAGGUAAGAGCUCACCAAGGCGACGAUCGGUAGCCGGCCUGAGAGGGCACACGGCCACACUGGCACUGAAACACGGGCCAGACUCCUACGGGAGGCAGCAGUGGGGAAUCUUGCACAAUGGGGCAACCCUGAUGCAGCGACGCCGCGUGGGCGAUGAAGCCCUUCGGGGUGUGAAGCUCUUUCGGCAGGGACGAUAAUGACGGUACCUGCAGAAGCAGCUGCGGCUAACUACGUGCCAGCAGCCGCGGCCGA
rnacentral:rRNA from 1 species